UACGUAGGGUGCGAGCGUUAAUCGGAAUUACUGGGCGUAAAGGGUGCGCAGGCGGUCUCGUAAGCUGAAUGUGAAAGCCCCGGGCUUAACCUAGGAAUGGCAUUCAAGACUGCGAGGCUUCGAGUGCGGCAGAGGGAGGUGGAAUUCCACGUGUAGCAGUGAAAUGCGUAGAGAUGUGGAGGAACACCGAUGGCGAAAGCAACCUCCUGGGCCAGCACUGACGCUCAUGCACGAAAGCGUAGGGAGCAAACAGG
rnacentral:rRNA from 1 species